rnacentral:rRNA from 1 species
CCUGCGGAAGGAUCAUUACCGAGUUCUCGGGCUUCGGCUCGAAUCUCCCACCCUUUGUGAACAUACCUCUGUUGCUUUGGCGGCUCUUUGCCGCGAGGAGGCCCUCGCGGGCCCCCCCGCGCGCUUUCUGCCAGAGGACCUUCAAACUCCAGUCAGUAAACGUCGACGUCUGAUAAACAAGUUAAUAAACUAAAACUUUCAACAACGGAUCUCUUGGUUCUGGCAUCGAUGAAGAACGCAGCGAAAUGCGAUAAGUAAUGUGAAUUGCAGAAUUCAGUGAAUCAUCGAAUCUUUGAACGCACAUUGCGCCCCCUGGCAUUCCGGGGGGCAUGCCUGUUCGAGCGUCAUUACAACCCUCAAGCUCUGCUUGGUAUUGGGCGCCGUCCUCUCUGCGGACGCGCCUUAAAGACCUCGGCGGUGGCUGUUCAGCCCUCAAGCGUAGUAGAAUACACCUCGCUUUGGAGCGGUUGGCGUCGCCCGCCGGACGAACCUUC